GGCGCAUUGGCCUAAUGGCUAAGGCGUUGCUUUCCGGCUAUCAGAUUCCAAAACAGGUCUGAAAAAGUCCUCUGGCAAAGACUCCAGGUUCGAGUCCUGGAUGCGUCG
rnacentral:tRNA from 1 species